UCACAAGGAUAAAGCCCUGCAUUUUAAUUUGUUAUUCAACAUGUCCAGUGAAUCAUAUGCUACAGCCAUAUGUUCUAUAGAUAAUUAAUACAUUCUGAAAGGAAAAGUAUAGCUAAUCACAAUAACUUAAAUCUUUCACAAGACCAGAUAAGAACCACAAUUUCAAAUGAUGAUUGUCUCAAUGCCUCUGAACAUGAUAAAAAUUUACGUCCUUAAAAUAACAAAGAAAUAAAUAAACACAUAUUAAGCACUUUUAUUCAUGAUACAGAACAAUGUCUAACCCUGCAAAAGAACCAGCAGCAACACCAAGACAUAGCCAGCCACUACCACGAAGAAGGAGCAAGAGCACAUAUCUCUCUAUAUUCAUAUUUAGAAAAUGA
rnacentral:lncRNA from 1 species